rnacentral:lncRNA from 1 species
GCAAAGUAAAUUUGUCUUUUUCUUUUAACUUAAAUAUAUUUUUGCAGCUAAGCAAGUGUUCCUCAAUUUUUUAGGUUGAAAUAAAAUUGGUCUAGUUCAUUGUACAACAUAUAUUAGCAGGUUUUUCUUUCCAAAAUAGGAGUUCUUUGGUUUAUUGUUUUGAAGAUAAGAGUUUCACAAGAUUUUAGUAGGAAUGACUUGGCUUUUGGUGUUUUAUAUUGCAAGAAUUUUAGUUU